rnacentral:lncRNA from 1 species
CUAAACUGUGCAGCCAGGAAGUGGCCUCCUCUACACACGUCAAAGGGAGGUAUUCCAUGGCCCUCUCCCCAAGGACACAGAUGAAGGACAGAGAGGAGAAUCAUAUGAUUUGCCUGCUUUGUCAAAGGGAGUCUAGCAGUCCCCGCUAACUGGAGCAAGAACCUGUCAGGGGGACAACUAUGGAGAAAAGAGCCCUGGAACGUGGCCUCUAGGAAAUAUCAUCACUCCUGUCCAAGAAGGAGGGUGCCAGGCAUUACCUGCAAUGGACCUCUUUCACUCCUGUCUCUGCAUUUACUACUGAGAAGAACCAACUAAUACACAUGCAGGGUUUAGAACUCAACCCUAUGUAAGAUGUGGAUCCUCUGAUGUAUGUAACAUGACUGAUCCAAUAGCUGGCACAAAGUAGGCCUCCAGUAGAUGUUAGUUGCUUCUCCUUUUGCAUCAUUUAGAACAUGCAUCUGGCUGCUAGUUAAGAGAGACUCAACACAAAUAAGAGAACAUUCGCACAAAUAAGAUAAUUGACAGUUUAAAGUGGUAAGAUGGCUUCACAGUGUCGUAGAAGUCCCAGCCUUCUAGCUGUUCCUGCCAAAUAGUCAUGUGCGCAAAGCCAUCUUGUACCCUCUAGACCAGGUAAGCUGCCACCUAAUGAUCCCAGUUGACACUACGUGGAACAGAAUUGCUCAGUCAAGCCUUGCUCAACUUCCUGAUUCAUA